GGCGGUGUAGCUCAGUGGUAGAGCAGAGGAAUCAUAAUCCUUUGGUCGGGGGUUCAAAUCCCUCUACCGCCACCA
rnacentral:tRNA from 1 species